AAACGGGUGGUAAUGCCGGAUGCUCCGACUCCUCGCAUGGGGUGUCGGGAAAGAUUUCAUCGGUAUGGGAUGGGGUCGCGUCCUAUCAGGUAGUCGGCGGGGUAACGGCCCACCGAGCCUACGACGGGUAGCCGGCCUGAGAGGGCGACCGGCCACAUUGGGACUGAGAUACGGCCCAGACUCCUACGGGAGGCAGCAGUGGGGAAUAUUGCACAAUGGGCGCAAGCCUGAUGCAGCGACGCCGCGUGCGGGAUGACGGCCUUCGGGUUGUAAACCGCUUUUGAUCGGGAGCAAGCCUUCGGGUGAGUGUACCUUUCGAAUAAGCACCGGCUAACUACGUGCCAGCAGCCGCGGUAAUACGUAGGGUGCAAGCGUUAUCCGGAAUUAUUGGGCGUAAAGGGCUCGUAGGCGGUUCGUCGCGUCCGGUGUGAAAGUCCAUCGCUUAACGGUGGAUCUGCGCCGGGUACGGGCGGGCUGGAGUGCGGUAGGGGAGACUGGAAUUCCCGGUGUAACGGUGGAAUGUGUAGAUA
rnacentral:rRNA from 1 species